AGUGAACGCUGGCGGUAGGCCUAACACAUGCAAGUCGAACGGCAGCACAGUAAGAGCUUGCUCUUACGGGUGGCGAGUGGCGGACGGGUGAGGAAUACAUCGGAAUCUACUUUUUCGUGGGGGAUAACGUAGGGAAACUUACGCUAAUACCGCAUACGACCUACGGGUGAAAGCAGGGGAUCUUCGGACCUUGCGCGAUUGAAUGAGCCGAUGUCGGAUUAGCUAGUUGGCGGGGUAAAGGCCCACCAAGGCGACGAUCCGUAGCUGGUCUGAGAGGAUGAUCAGCCCCACGGGAACGGAGACACGGUCCAGACCCCUACGGGAGGCAGCAGGGGGGAAUUUUGGAAAAUGGGCGAAAGCCUGAUCCAGCCAUACCGCGGGGGUGAAGAAGGCCUUCGGGUUGUAAAGCCCUUUUGUUGGGAAAAAAAAGCAGCAGGUUAAUACCCCGCUGUUCUGACGGUACCAAAAGAAAAAGCACCGGCUAACUUCGU
rnacentral:rRNA from 1 species